CGGGGCUAGAGAGAGCGACGGAAAGCGAGAGAGGCUGCUGUAGAUACGAUCUGUUUACCUGUUGACCAUCACAGUUAAGAGCCGGGGGUUUUAUACGUGUAACCUGCUAAAAUUGCAGAGCGAGUCGUGUGUUUAAGCUGUUUUCAUACAAUUAUUCUACUAAACUAACCCAACUACCAUAGCCACCUGUGGACUGUUGCUAAUUGGCUAAUUGGCUAGUUCUAGCCAGGCUAGUAUGCAUGGGAUGCUGCUGCAGUAGCUGGAUGCCAGAGGAACCUGUGUUCUGCACAGGGACAGAGCAGGACGGGUUUCUUCAUUGCACUGCUCACUGCUGGACAGAUCUGACAAGCAACACUCGUAGGCAUCGUACACGGGCGCCAGCAUCAGCAGACCUAGAACGACGCUGCAGAAGUUCCCACUCAGCUCGGAGGACAGAUCAUCAGCCAGGUCCUGCAGGAGGACGGGAGCAGAUGGAUUAAACAGGAAAGAAAAAACAGCCCACCAGUCGUCCCCCAGCACUUCAAUAAUAUCAAUCAAGAGGUGGGACAGCAGCCAUGAGACGGACUUACCGCUGCCAUUGUAGGAAGAGUGAAGAUUUCCAAACUGGAGGUGCAGAAAGCUACAAAAGAGUAAAUGCAUAAUUUGUCACUCACACAAGAACCAGUUUAUAGCACAACAAAAAACUAAUUAGCUGCAGCAUCAGGUUUUAGGGGGCAGUUCUGAACGUGACCCUCAUUAACCUCUGAUCAAUAUUGUAUGCCGUUUCAUCAGAGAGGGUUCCCGUCACACACAUUUGGCCCCGGGCUCUCUUGUGUCCCACAUCUGUGCCGGCGUCCCGGGAGCUAAUCUCAUUUAGUGUUUGUUUGGACACACCUGUGUAAUUACUCCACUGAGAGCACAGGUAGUAGGGUUUCCACUCUUUCCUGUUUUCCUGCAGGUAGAGAUCAACUUACCCACUGAUGGGAGUUAUCAUAUAUCUGUCAAAAUCCAAUACGUUUUAAAACACAUUGAGAAGACUCAUUUAGUUUACAAGCCUGCAGAAACAGCCCAGAUGUUUUUAUAUAUAAUAAUACAAUUUCAUUUAUAUAGCGCUUUUCUGGAUACUCAAA